UGGGGAAUAUUGCACAAUGGGCGAAAGCCUGAUGCAGCAACGCCGCGUGAGCGAUGAAGGUCUUCGGAUUGUAAAGCUCUGUCUUUUGGGACGAUAAUGACGGUACCAAAGGAGGAAGCCACGGCUAACUACGUGCCAGCAGCCGCGGUAAUACGUAGGUGGCGAGCGUUGUCCGGAUUUACUGGGCGUAAAGGGUGCGUAGGCGGAUGUUUAAGUGAGAUGUGAAAUACCCGGGCUUAACUUGGGUGCUGCAUUUCAAACUGGAUAUCUAGAGUGCAGGAGAGGAGAAUGGAAUUCCUAGUNUAGCGGUGAAAUGCGUAGAGAUUAGGAAGAACACCAGUGGCGAAGGCGAUUCUCUGGACUGUAACUGACGCUGAGGCACGAAAGCGUGGGUAGCAAACAGGAUUAGAUACCCUGGUAGUCCACGCCGUAAACGAUGAGUACUAGGUGUAGGAGGUAUCGACCCCUUCUGUGCCGCAGUAAACACAU
rnacentral:rRNA from 1 species